rnacentral:tRNA from 1 species
GUUUAUGUAGUUUAAUAUUAAAAACAAAUUAUUUUCAAUAAUUAGAAAAAUUAAUUUUCUUAAACU